CUACAGCAAACUUUUCAAAGUGUUUCUGAAGACCAGGCUUGGCCAAGGCAGCCUUGGAUGUGCUACUGGUGACCUGCUCACUCUUCGUUGCUAAGGUGGAAAUAAGUCAAUGGACUCACUUACUUAGCUGCCAUGUUCUCCCUCUGAAUGCAUGAGGCUUUUUGGAUGAGUAUGUGGCACCCUGAAACUGUGAAGCAGCUGCAUAAGGUGCAUUUGCUUUGGAGAGGAUUAGCUCUUUCCAGUGCUAUCAGGAUUGUCUGAGCCAAUCUUCUGGGUUAACUCCACCUCACUGAGGACCUGACCCUCCUUGUUCCUGGAAUAAGAGAUGGCAUGUCUUUUGCUAGGAUCAGAGGUCCUCAAAAUGGAUCACAUCAUGUGACAGAGUGGGAGAGAAAAAAAAACAAGAAAAAUUCUGCAAUGAAUUUGCAAUCCAGAAAGAGAUACCUGCUCCUGCACUCAUCCCAUCUCAAGCCACCUGUAUUAUAGCUCUCUGCAAAAACACUACUAUCCUCUGGCCUGCAAAGCCAGAUAUCUGGAGAAGAAGCUUUGGGUGGGGAUUGCUGAGUGGAAGAAGGUUACAUUUCUGGUGAGUUCAGUCCUGGGACAAAUGGCUUUAAGUUUGCUGUUCCUACAUUAAACACCAUGAGAUUUUGAGACUUCUCAGCUUUGCUGCCUCCAUCUGUAAUACCUCCCUUUCUCAUAGCAGCUUUGUAGAGCUAAGCAAGUUAAGACAUGCAGAGCAUUUUAAGAAGUACACUAUACUCAGCUUUAUUAUUAAAGUGCUGAUGUGCUCUUUUCCUAAGAAAAGGUACUAGGUCUCCUAAAAAAAAAAAAAAAAAAAAAAAAAGCUUGAAGGAAUUUUUUGGAAGAAAAUUAAAUAUAGACCUGCUUUAGACUCUUUCUUAUCUCUGCAUGUACAUAACAGUCAAGCAUAGCAUCAUUUAAUUCUACGUUAGUCUAAUUGCUGGGUACCUACCACUUCCAUCUGUGCAUAUAAUAGUGAAUGCAUGCACUGAGGGCUUAACAACUCAGACACCAGCUCAGAUGAACAAACGCCCUAGAAUUAUCACUGAUAAAAUCAUCCAUACGUUUAAGCUCUUAAAUUAAGAGGACUGCCAGUGCAUGGCUAUGUACCAAAAAAACUAGAGAUGUGAACCGGAAGUGAUUAGAUUGCCCUGGUCAGGCUACAUCUGUAGUAAUAAUUAAAUGUGCCUGGGACCGUUUUCUAGCACUGCAAGCGCAGUGUCUGCGCCUAUAUUAUUAAACAGACAUAGCCCUCAAAACAGUAAUCCUGGUGGGAACAUUCCCCCCCAAAUUCUCAGGCACCUUUAGCAGGAAAUGCUAACUGACCUGGAUCACAAUCAUGACAGGGAUGGCUUAAAACAUCUAAUAGCUUAAAAAAUCUAAUCUCACUGCCAAGAAAUUUUCUCUGGAACUGUUUAAUUUACUAGUCUAAUUUGCUAGUGAGUCCGGCUCAAUAGAAGUG
rnacentral:lncRNA from 1 species